GACGAACGCUGGCGGCGUGCUUAACACAUGCAAGUCGAACGGAAAGGCCCUGCUUUUGUGGGGUGCUCGAGUGGCGAACGGGUGAGUAACACGUGAGUAACCUGCCCUUGACUUUGGGAUAACUUCAGGAAACUGGGGCUAAUACCGGAUAGGAGCUCCUGCUGCAUGGUGGGGGUUGGAAAGUUUCGGCGGUUGGGGAUGGACUCGCGGCUUAUCAGCUUGUUGGUGGGGUAGUGGCUUACCAAGGCUUUGACGGGUAGCCCGCCUGAGAGGGUGACCGGCCACAUUGGGACUGAGAUACGGCGCAGACUGCUACGGGAGGCAGCAGUGGGGAAUAUUGCGCAAUGGGCGGAAGCCUGAUGCAGCAACGCCGCGUGCGGGAUGACGGCCUUCGGGUUGUAAACCGCUUUCGCCUGUGCCGAAGCGUGAGUGACGGUAAUGGGUAAAGAAGCACCGGCUAACUACGUG
rnacentral:rRNA from 1 species